CCUACGGGAGGCUGCAGUGGGGAAUAUUGGGCAAUGGGCGCAAGCCUGACCCAGCAACGCCGCGUGAAGGAAGAAGGCUUUCGGGUUGUAAACUUCUUUUCUGAGGGACGAAGCAAGUGACGGUACCUCAGGAAUAAGCCACGGCUAACUACGUGCCAGCAGCCGCGGUAAUACGUAGGUGGCAAGCGUGAUCCGGAUUUAUUGGGUGUAAAGGGCGUGUAGGCGGGAAAGCAAGUCAGAUGUGAAAACUCCGGGCUCAACCCUGGGCCUGCAUUUGAAACUGUUGUUCUUGAGUGCUGGAGAGGCAGUCGGAAUUCGGCGUGUAGCGGUGAAAUGCGUAGAUAUGAGGAGGAACACCAGUGGCGAAGGCGGAUUGCUGGACAGUAACUGACGCUGAGGCGCGAAAGCGUGGGGAGCAAACAGGAUUAGAUACCCCAGUAGUC
rnacentral:rRNA from 1 species